AUUUAGCACCAUGCACGAAAUACUAAUAAAUAUUUCACAAAUCAUCCGAAUACCUUGACAACAAUUUUACUUUGGCCCUAGUUGGGCACAAAAUUUUCUAUAUAACGGUUUGAUAAGUACUUGCACCUGUUGGUCAAUAGUGGAAUGUCUAGAUAUUGGUCCUAGAAUGGAUUUUAAAAUUGAGCAAUAGCAGUUCUAUAUAGGGCGCCGAUAUUGGUUGAAAAGUGGUUGUAAAACACCGUGUGAAAUGGGCAAUUCUAUGUAGAGCCGAUAAUGGAUAUAAAGUAGUAUUUAGGUAAAUCUAACAGUUCUAUAAAAGGCCGAUAUUGUUUAAAAGUGGCUGCAAAACAUCGGGUGAAAUGGACAAUUCUUCCCUCAUUGUGUUUUCCUUAACUUACGACAGAGUAUAACGCAUAAAUUGUUCAACUUCAACGUUGCUAAGCCGAGUUGAAAUAAUGCACGAUUCGAAGCAGUAUACUUAUCACGAGCACAGGAGGACGACAUUUUCCAGCAUUUUCAGUCAAAUCGGAGGAUCACUCGGUUUGUUUCUAGGAGCUAGCAUCAUCUCUGUUAUAGAAUUAUCUAUUUUCCUCAUGCAAUGGAUUUGGUAUAAAUGUUGUCCAACAAGAACUGUGAAAUCCUCACAAUUGUAUUCCACAUCCAGCAAAAGAACAAAAAGCAACUAAUUGAAUAUCAGAGAUAAACUAAUUGGAUAGUGUGCAAAAAAGAAAAAAAAAAGAAAAGAAACCGACCACCCUGAAUAACUUUAGAUCUAGUGAUCGGAUUUUCAUGUUCUAGGACUAAAUCUUAAUGGCUCGAGGGGUGUGACCUCAAAUAUACUAAUUAAUUAGUGCAGACGAUAUUUCAAGUUUCGAAAUAAGGCAGAAAAAUAUAAUUUCUCUGAAUAAACAGAACCUAUUUUCUUAUGUAUUCCGAUUUGUGAUCCCCAAAAUAUAAGGGGUAGCCGCAAUCCUGGAUCGAAUCUUUAAAGAUCUUAUUUUAAAGAUCUGACUUUUUUUAAAUUCCAAUUUCUCGGAACUUUUCAAGUGAUUUUGCUGAAAUUUUGUAUUUUGUCUUCUUGGUUUUUUAAAAUGAUAUGAAAAAUUUUAUAUCUAACAAUUCAA